rnacentral:rRNA from 1 species
UUGGAGGGCAGUCUGGUGCCAGCAGCCGCGGUAAUUCCAGCUCCAAUAGCGUAUAUUAAAGUUGUUGCAGUUAAAAAGCUCGUAGUUGAACUUCGGGGUUUACCCAUUGGUCAGGCUUUAUUGUCUGCACUGGUGAGAUGAAUCUCUACCUUCUGAGGAACUUUCAUGCCAUUUAUUUGGUGUGAUGGGAAAUCAGGACUGUUACUUUGAAAAAAUUAGAGUGUUUAAAGCAGGCUAACGUCUGAAUACAUUAGCAUGGAAUAAUGAAAUAGGACGGACUGAUUCUAUUUCGUUGGUUUCUAGGAUCACCGUAAUGAUUAAUAGGGAUAGUUGGGGGCAUUAGUAUUCAAUUGUCGGAGGUGAAAUUCUUGGAUUUAUUGAAGACUAACUACUGCGAAAGCAUUCGCCAAGGAUGUUUUCAUUAAUCAAGAACGAAAGUUAGGGGAUCGAAGACGAUCAGAUACCGUCGUAGUCUUAACCAUAAACUAUGCCGACUAGGGAUCGGACGAAGUUAAUUUUAUAAUGACGCGUUCGGCGCCUUACGGGAAAC